AUAAAAAGGGAAGAAGUUCAUCCAUUCACACAUGGAUGAACUUUGAAGACACUAACUUUAGCUCAGUGGAAAAAGCCACAAAGGACUACGUAUCACAUAAUCCCAUUUAUAUGAAAUGUCCAGAAUAGGUGAAAAUAAGUAAUGGAUAUGGAUUUGCUUUUGGGUGAUGAAGAAAAUGUGGGACUAAUUUGAGGUGGUUUUUGAAUAACAUUGUGACUAUGGUCACAAUGUGUCACUUUUGAUCCAGGCAUGGUAGCAUAUGCCUGUAAUCCUAGCACUCAGAAGGAUGAUACAGGAGAAUUUUGAUUUUUGAUUCUACCCAGGGCUAUACUGCAGUCUCUGUCUCAAAAAUAAAAAGGUAAUUUCAUGCUGUAUGAGUUUCAUCCCAAUUAAAAAUAAAGUUGGGCAUGGUAGUCUCAGAUGCUUAUGCUUAGGGAGCCAAAACACGCAGAUCACCUAAGUCCAGCCUGGGCAACAUAGUAAGGAAAAAUAUCCUAACUCUAGUGAAGGCCCAGGGUACCACUGCAGAAGAACAUCCGUGCUGUCUAGUGCCUUAGCCACAGGCAGUGAGUGGUCACUGUACUUUCUGAGUCUGUGUUGAAUUUGGAGUUUUUCUCUUUCUCCUUUCUGCCAGCCUGCAGCUGUCUCUUCCUGCAUCAAUAUCAAGUGGGUCAAAAUUCCUAUGAAAUGAGAUAUCCUCCAUCUACUUAGGUACAUCAGGAACAACGCCUGUGCUUAGAGAAGCACUCACAGCAACCUAAGAUCUUGAAAACUCUCAGCUCUAUGCUGGAACUCCAGCAAUGACAUCACUAGACCAGCACCUGAGAAUGGAAAGCCCCAGUGCCUGGGUAAGGAGAGGUCAUGGUCAUGA